rnacentral:rRNA from 1 species
AACGAACGCUGGCGGCAUGCCUAACACAUGCAAGUCGAACGAGAUCUUCGGGUCUAGUGGCGCACGGGUGCGUAACGCGUGGGAAUCUGCCCUUUGGUUCGGAAUAACAGUUGGAAACGACUGCUAAUACCGGAUGAUGACGAAAGUCCAAAGAUUUAUCGCCAGAGGAGUGAGCCCGCGUAGGAUUAGCUAGUUGGUGUGGUAAAGGCGCACCAAGGCGACGAUCCUUAGCUGGUCUGAGAGGAUGAUCAGCCACACUGGGACUGAGACACGGCCCAGACUCCUACGGGAGGCAGCAGUGGGGAAUAUUGGACAAUGGGCGAAAGCCUGAUCCAGCAAUGCCGCGUGAGUGAUGAAGGCCUUAGGGUUGUAAAGCUCUUUUACCCGGGAUGAUAAUGACAGUACCGGGAGAAUAAGCUCCGGCUAACUCCGUGCCAGCAGCCGCCGUAA